rnacentral:rRNA from 1 species
AGCGAACGCUGGCGGCGUGGAUUAGGCAUGCAUGUCGAGCGAGAACGGGAGCAAUCCCUUAGUAAAGCGGCACACGGGUCAGUAAUGCGUGGAUAACUUGCCCUCGAGACUGGGAUAACGGCGGGAAACUGCCGCUAAUACCGGAUGGCCUCGCGAACCGGCAUCGGAUUGCGAGUAAAGGUGGGGCCCGUCGCAAGACGGUCUGCUGGCUCGAGGAGAGGUCACGACCUAUCAGCUAGUUGGUGAGGUAACGGCUCACCAAGGCUACGGACGGGUAGGCGGGCUGAGAGGCUGACCGCCGACACUGGGACUGAGAACUGCCCAGGACUCCUACGGGAGCUGCAGUCGAGAAUCUUCCGCAAUGGACGCAAGUCUGAUGGAGCGACGCCGCGUGUGGGAUGAAGGUCUUUGGAUUGUAAACCACUGUCACGCGUUAUGAAUGCGUAGCAGCGAAUACCUGCUGCGCUGACAAA